rnacentral:lncRNA from 1 species
CUCAUCACUCCCAUCAGAAAAGCAGAUCCAAACAACAUUUACAAUAUUUUCAAUAUGAAGAACUACAACACAGUUGUAACAGGACUUUGGGGCAUAUAUAGAUCACCUAAGAUGGAGACAACCACAUUAGAGAUGACAUGGACCCGUAUCAAGUUGAAGACUAUCUUGUAGUCCCAUGACUUUGGGAAAAGACAUUCUACAGUCUCCUAGCACAAAGGAGCGUACAUUAGCAAAGGUUUCAGUCACCUACAGCAUGGACAUUAUGCACUAAGGCAGGUAUAAGUUGGACUAAAUAUACAUGGAGAUGUCUUCUCUUUGGUUCAGCAGUUCAUGG